GAUGAACGCUGGCGGCGUGCCUAAUACAUGCAAGUCGAGCGAACGGAUAAGGAGCUUGCUCCUUUGAAGUUAGCGGCGGACGGGUGAGUAACACGUGGGUAACCUGCCUAUAAGACUGGAAUAACUUCGGGAAACCGGAGCUAAUGCCGGAUAACAUAUAGAACCGCAUGGUUCUAUAGUGAAAGAUGGUUUUGCUAUCACUUAUAGAUGGACCCGCGCCGUAUUAGCUAGUUGGUAAGGUAAAGGCUUACCAAGGCGACGAUACGUAGCCGACCUGAGAGGGUGAUCGGCCACACUGGAACUGAGACACGGUCCAGACUCCUACGGGAGGCAGCAGUAGGGAAUCUUCCGCAAUGGGCGAAAGCCUGACGGAGCAACGCCGCGUGAGUGAUGAAGGUUUUCGGAUCGUAAAACUCUGUUAUUAGGGAAGAACAAAUGCGUAAGUAACUGUGCGCAUCUUGACGGUACCUAAUCAGAAAGCCACGGCUAACUACGUGCCAGCAGCCGCAGUAAUAC
rnacentral:rRNA from 1 species